rnacentral:rRNA from 1 species
GACGAACGCUGGCGGCGUGCUUAACACAUGCAAGUCGAACGAAGUGGCGAACGGGUGAGUAACGCGUAAUCAACCUGCCCUUCAGAGGGGGACAACAGUUGGAAACGACUGCUAAUACCGCAUACUGAUGGAGGGGUUUGCGUCUGAUUAGCUGGUUGGAGGGGUAACGGCCCACCAAGGCGAUGAUCAGUAGCCGGUCUGGGAGGAUGGACAGCCAAAAUGGGACUGAGACACGGCCCAGACUCCUACGGGAGGCAGCCGUGGGGGAACAUCCGCAAUGGACGAAAGUCUGACGGAGCAAAGCCGCGUGAGUGGUGACGGCCUUCGGGGUGUAAAACUAUGUUAAUCGGGACGCGGUACCGGAAUAGAAAGCCACGGCUAACUACGUGCCAGCAGCCGCGGUAAUAC